rnacentral:rRNA from 1 species
CCCCUAGAUGUUCUGGGCCGCACGCGCGCUACACUGAACAGUUCAACAAGUCUUAACCUUGGCCGAUAGGUCUGGGUAAUCUUUGAACGCUGUUCGUGAUUGGGAUAGACCUUUGCAAUUAUGGGUCUUCAACGAGGAAUUCCUAGUAAACGCAAGUCAUCAGCUUGCAUUGAUUUCGUCCCUGCCCUUUGUACACACCGCCCGUCGCACCUACCGAUUGAAUGGUCCGGUGAAAUCUCGGGACGGCGGCUUGGUCGCUUGCGUCCGACUGCUGAAACUUGAUUAAACCAUAUCAUUUAGAGGAAGGUGAAGUCGUAACA